rnacentral:tRNA from 1 species
UAGCUUAGUGGUUAAGAGCACUGGCUGCUCUUCCAGAGGACCUGGGUUCAAUUCCCAG